AUUGAACGCUGGCGGAAUGCUUUACACAUGCAAGUCGAGCGGCAGCGCGGGGGCAACCCUGGCGGCGAGCGGCGAACGGGUGAGUAAUGUAUCGGAACGUACCCAGUCGUGGGGGAUAACUAUCCGAAAGGAUAGCUAAUACCGCAUACGACCUGAGGGUGAAAGCGGGGGAUCGCAAGACCUCGCGCUAUUGGAGCAGCCGAUGCCCGAUUAGGUAGUUGGUGGGGUAAAAGCCUACCAAGCCGACGAUCGGUAACUGGUCUGAGAGGACGACCAGUCACACUGGGACUGAGACACGGCCCAGACUCCUACGGGAGGCAGCAGUGGGGAAUUUUGGACAAUGGGGGAAACCCUGAUCCAGCAAUGCCGCGUGUGUGAAGAAGGCC
rnacentral:rRNA from 1 species